rnacentral:rRNA from 1 species
AUGGCGACCGGCGCACGGGUGAGUAACGCGUAUCCAACCUGCCCUUUACUAUGGGACAGCCCGUCGAAAGGCGGAUUAAUACCGUAUGUUGUCAUGUUGAUGCAUAUUUUCAUGACCAAAGGCUUCGGCCGGUAAAGGAUGGGGAUGCGUCUGAUUAGCUUGCCGGCGGGGUAACGGCCCACCGGGGCGACGAUCAGUAGGGGUUCUGAGGGGAAGGUCCCCCACAUUGGAACUGAGACACGGUCCAAACUCCUACGGGAGGCAGCAG